GGUUGUGGUGGUGGUGGUGGUGGUUAUGGUGGCGGAGGGCGAGGAGGUUGAGAGGUGGAAGAGUGGUGGAGAUAUGGUGGACGAAGGAAGGAGUGGUGAGGAGGUUGUUGAAGAAUUUAGAAAGAGAACGGCAGAUGAUGAUUUGACGGAGGGGUAAAGAGGAGAAGAUGUGGUGAAGUGUGUCUUGAGGGAGGUGGUAGAUUAGUGGUGGUGGUGGUUGUUGUUCCAUUUUUGUGGCGGCGAAUUUGGUGUUGUGGUUGUGAAGAAGUUUGAAGGGGAAAGGGAUUGAAGGAUGCUUUUCUAACUUUUUUGAAGAAUUUUUAUUCACAUCGAAGGCUGCACAACUCCAAGGUGACCUAGAUUUUGUAAUUAGUCCUUUUUGUUCUAUGUCUUGGAUUUCUGCUUUGCAAUGUGUUUCAAGUUCAUAAUUCAUUUGGAUAUGUCUAGCUUUCGUUGGGAUUUGUUUAUCGGAAAAGUCAUUUUCAUAUGGUAGGUCUACCAUAUGUUGUUUUCUGUUCCAAAAAGCAUUUGAUAAAUCUGAACAGAUUUCGUUUUCAAUUCUUUUUUGGAGAUAUGAAAUUUUUUGUUUUAUGAAA